rfam:Candidatus Nomurabacteria bacterium RIFCSPHIGHO2_01_FTLL_42_15 rifcsphigho2_01_scaffold_176, whole genome shotgun sequence.
GGGCGAUUAGUUAAGUGGCAUAACGAAGGCCUCCAAAUCCUUUGUCGGAAGUUCGAUUCUUCCAUCGCCCG